CCAGUCUGUGGUCUACUGGGCUCACGAUCUGUAUCUCCAGUACCUGAUCUGUGCUGGUUUAGGAUUCAGCCUCUAUCUCUGAUCGAAGGGCUUCAUAGGCAAUCUCAUCAAGGACGUCAUCAGCUUCAUAGACAGCUAUUUUAAGCUCUCUAAAAGCCACUGUUUUACAGCUGGCUUCGUAAUCUCCUUCUCCUCAGCAUCAUCGAGCGAUUUGACAGAUAUCAAAGUCGUUUUCAUCUUCUUGAGCAGUCCAUCAUUGAGUCUUCGGUUCUUGAAGAAGUCAACAACUUCACGAGAAGCCAUCCUACCAAAUAGGACCUGAAGGAAAGCAGAGAGAAAUGCUCCUCCUACUGCUGCUGCAUCCAUGGUUUAACUUUUCACCCUUAACAAGUUGUCAAACUAUAAAAAAGGAAACAGAUGAAGAGAAGCAAAACCAAACAGAGAAGGCAAGAAAAUAAAG
rnacentral:misc_RNA from 1 species